GGUAUUUUGACCGUGCGAAGGUAGCGUAAUCACUUGUCUUUUAAAUGUAGACCUGUAUGAAUGGCAAAACGAGGGCUUAACUGUCUCCUCUAUUCAGUCAAUGAAAUUGAUCUCCCCGUGCAGAAGCGGGGCUAAAAACAUAAGACGAGAAGACCCUAUGAAGCUUUAGGCGAAAGACAGCUCACGUUAAAACCCCUAGAAAAAAGACAAAACAUAAUGAUAUCUGUCCUGAUGCCUUUGGUUGGGGCGACCGCGGAGAAAUAAAAAUCCCUCCACGUGGAAGAUAACACAGUUAUUUAAAUCAAGAGCUACAGCUCUAAUUAAUAGAACUUCUAACCUAUAAGACCCGGCAAUGCCGAUUAACGAACCAAGUUACUCUAGGGAUAACAGCGCAAUCCCCUUUUAGAGCCCAUAUCGACAAGGGGGUUUACGACCUCGAUGUUGGAUCAGGACAUCCUAAUGGUGCAGCCGCUAUUAAGGGUUCGUUUGUU
rnacentral:rRNA from 1 species